AUACGGAGGGUGCGAGCGUUACGCGGAGUCACUGGGCGUAAAGCGUCCGUAGGCGGUCGGGUAAGUCGGGUGUGAAAGCCCCGGGCUCAACCUGGGAAGUGCACCCGAUACUGCUCGACUCGAGUGCGGGAGAGGAUGGCGGAAUUCCCGGUGUAGCGGUGAAAUGCGUAGAGAUCGGGAGGAACACCAGUGGCGAAGGCGGCCAUCUGGCCCGCAACUGACGCUGAGGGACGAAGGCGUGGGGAGCAAACAGGAUUAGAAACCCUAGUAGUCC
rnacentral:rRNA from 1 species